CUCAGCCCGCAGGAGUGCCUGAAAUCCUGAAAAAGUCACUUCACACUUGUUCAGUGGCCGGCGGAGAAGAGGUCUUUAUCAUUGGCAAGAACUUUCUUAAAGACACCAAAGUCAUAUUUCAGGAAAAUGUUUCUGAUGAGAAAUCGUGGAAGGCAGAGGCUGAAAUCGACAUGGAGCUGUUUCACCAGAAUCACUUGAUAGUGAAAGUUCCUCCAUACCAGAACCAAGCCAUCACCUCUCCAGUGUGUGUGGGAAUCUACGUGGUGACGAAUGCUGGGCGAUCCCAUGAUAUUCAGCCUUUUACCUACACUCCAGAGACAGUGAAAAAUGAUGUUCCUGUGAAGAAAGAGGCACCUUCUCCAGUGAAGACAUGUUCAUUUGAGGAACAAAUUAAAG